UUUUUUUAGUGACCAUCUGUUGUCCUUUAAAUUAGACUUAGCAAUUCAUUUUGGGUCGAACAGAAAUUUGGGGCAAUCAGAUGAUCAACCGAAUACCCGAACUCCGAGCCAAAAUGUACCCGAAUCACGUACUAAACCUGCCGCCAUCUUUGUACAUGCGCAGAGUUUUGGAAAACUGCAGUCUCCAAAAUCAUUUUAAAACUUAUUUUUAAAAGGUCACACGUAC